rnacentral:rRNA from 1 species
AGCCUUAGGGUAUUAUCUAAGGUCAGACCUGCCCAAUGUAUAAUUAAUGGAUGAAUGGCCGCGGUACUUUGACCGUGCUAAGGUAGCGCAAUCAAUUGGCUUUUAAUUGGGGCCAGGUAUGAAUGGAGUCACGGAGUUUCACUGUCUCUUAAUUAUUUUAUCUAAAUUACUAUGCAGGUGAAAAAGCCUGUUAAAAGAAAAAGGACGAGAAGACCCUUAGAGUUUUUUAUCCGAGCAGUUUUGUUGGGGCAACAUAGGAGCAAAUCUCCACAAAUCGAUUGUUAGAAUUGAAUAAACUACCUUAGGGAUAACAGCAUAAUUUUAUAAAUAAGUUUGUGACCUCGAUGUUGGACUAGGAAACCUAGGGGCUAGCCGCCUCUUGGGUAAGUUCUGUUCGAACUAUAUAUUCCU